GCGUAGAUUCCCGAGUGGUCAAAGGGGCGGGUCUUAAGAUCCCGUGUUUCGGCUUCGGGGGUUCGAAUCCCCCUCUACGCA
rnacentral:tRNA from 1 species